AUCUACCGAUUCUCUUUAGAUCACCGAAGUCAAGCAUCAUUGGGCGCGGUCAGUACUUGGGUGGGUGACUACCUGGGAACACCGCGUGC
rnacentral:rRNA from 1 species